AGGCCAGGCGGCGGCCUAACCAUGCAAGUCGAACGGUAACAGGAAGCAGCUUGCUGCUUCGCUGACGAGUGGCGGACGGGUGAGUAAUGUCUGGGAAACUGCCUGAUGGAGGGGGAUAACUACUGGAAACGGUAGCUAAUACCGCAUAACGUCGCAAGACCAAAGAGGGGGACCUUCGGGCCUCUUGCAAUCGGAUGUGCCCAGAUGUGGGAUUGAGCUAUGUAGGUGGUCGUGUAACGGCUCACCCAGGCCGAGCGAUCCCUAGCUUGGUCUCGAGCACCGACUGACCAGCCACACUGGCAACCCUGAGAACACGCCGUUCCAUGACUCCUGACGCGAGGGUCAGCUAAGUGGGGAUACUAGUCGCCACAACCUGGGCUGCAAGCCCUGAUGCAGCCGAUGUCUCGCGAUGUACGAAUGAACGGUCCUUCCGAGCUCUGUAAAGUACCGUCGAGGCGGGGGAGGAAGGCUGAUAAGCCUAAUAACCUUUGGUCGAUUCGACGUGACCCAGCAAGAAAGAAGCACCUGGCUAACUCCCGUGCCAGCAGCAGAGGGUAAUACGGAGGGUGCAAGCGUUAAUCGGAAAUCACGGGGCGCAAAGCGCACGCAGGCGGUCUGUCAAGUCGGAUGUGAAAUCCCCCGGGCUCAACCUGGGAACUGCAUUCGAAACUGGCAGGCUAGAGUCUUGUAGAGGGGGGUAGAAUUCCAGGUGCAGCGGUGAAAUGCGUAGAGAUCUGGAGGAAUACCGGUGGCGAAAGCGGCCCCCCUGGACAAACACUCACGCUCACGUGCGAAAACGUGGGGAGCAAACAGGGACUAGAUACCCCGGGAGUCUCACCCAGAUAAACGAUGUCGACUUCGGAGGCUCGUGCCGCGAUUGAGGCGCGGCCUCAGAAGAUAACGUCCUUAAGUCGACCGACUGGGGAGUACGAGCCAGCAAGCGUGGUAAAACUCAAAUGAAUAGACGGGGGGCCCGCACAAGCGGUGGAGCAUCAGGUAAUAUAUUUCGAAUGCAACGCGAACAACCUCAACUUACUCUGGACAUCCAGGACAACUAUUAGCAGAGAUGUCUUUCGCUGCCGUCGGAGAACUAUAGAGACAGGUGCUAGCACGGCUAGUCCUCAGCUCGUGUUGAGAAAUGUAUGGGUUAAGUCACGCCACGACUAGCAAACCUUAGCCUUUGCUGCCACCGGUCAGGCCGAGAACUCAAAGCAGACUGCCAGUGACUCAAAAUGGAGGAAGGUGAGGAUGACGUCAAGUCAUCAUGUGCCCUUACCAACAGGGACUACUGACACGUGCUACAAUGGCGCAUACAAAGAGAAGCGACCUCGCGAGAGCAAGCGGACCUCAUAAAGUGCGUGGUAGUCCGGAUUGGAGUCUGCAACUCGACUCCAUGAAGUCGGAAUCGCUAGUAAUCGUGGAUCAGAAUGCCACGGUGAAUACGUUCCCGGGCCUUGUACACACCGCCCGUCACACCAUGGGAGUGGGUUGCAAAAGAAGUAGGUAGCUUAACCUUCGGGAGGGCGCUACCACUUGUGAUCCUGGCU
rnacentral:rRNA from 1 species